AUGCUCACUUCGGCAGCAUAUAUACUAAAAUUGGAACGAUACAGAGAAGAUUAGCAUGGCCCCGGAGCAAGGAUGCCACGCAAAUUUGGGAAGCGUUCCAUAUAAAA
ensembl:snRNA U6 U6 spliceosomal RNA